rnacentral:rRNA from 1 species
AGCGAACGCUGGCGGCAGGCUUAACACAUGCAAGUCGAGCGGGCACUUUCGGGUGUCAGCGGCGGACGGGUGAGUAACGCGUGGUAACUUGCCCUCUGGUUCGGAAUAACUCAGGGAAACUUGAGCUAAUACCGGAUACGCCCUUUUGGGGAAAGGCUUGCUGCCGGAGGAUCGGCCCGCGUCUGAUUAGCUAGUUGGUGAGGUAACGGCUCACCAAGGCGACGAUCAGUAGCUGGUCUGAGAGGAUGAUCAGCCACACUGGGACUGAGACACGGCCCAGACUCCUACGGGAGGCAGCAGUGGGGAAUAUUGGACAAUGGGCGCAAGCCUGAUCCAGCCAUGCCGCGUGAGUGAUGAAGGCCUUAGGGUUGUAAAGCUCUUUUAUCCGGGACGAUAAUGACGGUACCGGAGGAAUAAGCCCCGGCUAACUUCGUG